rnacentral:piRNA from 1 species
UUCUGAACUGGAUGCUCAGGAGAGUGCUGC